rnacentral:rRNA from 1 species
GGACCGGGAUACCCUCGGGAAACUGAGGUAACCCGGAUACCGCUUUCACGUUGGAAAAACGGAAAGCUGGAAACGGUCCGCCGCCGGAGGACGUGACUGCGGUUUCAUUAGGUAGACGGUGGGGUAACGGCCCACCGUGCCAAUAAUCGGUACGGGUUGUGAGAGCAAGAGCCCGGAGACGGAAUCUGAGACAAGAUUCCGGGCCCUACGGGGCGCAGCAGCCGCGAAACCUUUACACUGCACGACAGUGCGAUAAGGGGAUCCCGAGUGCGAGGGCAUACAGUCCUCGCUUUUCGUGACCGUAAGGUGGUCACAGAAUAAGGGCUGGGCAAGAUUUUUUGCCAGCCGCCGCGGUAAUACCGGCAGCCCGAGUGAUAGCCAAUUUUAUUGGGCCUAAAGCGUCCGUAGCCGGCCGAACGGGUCCGUCGGGAAAUCCACCCGCUUAACGGGUGGGCGUCCGGCGGAAACCAGUCGGCUUGGGGGCCGGGGAGACCAGAGGGGGUACGUCCCGGGGGUAGGGAGUGGAAAUCCUGUAAUCCUGGGACGGGACCCACCCGGUUGCGAAAGCGCCUUCUGGAAGAAACGGGACCCCGACGGGUGAGGGGACGAAAAGCUAGGGUCUCGAACCGGGAUUAAGAUACCCGGGGUAGUCUUAGCCGUAAACGAUGCUUCGCUAGGUGUGACGCCAGGGCUACGAGCCUGCCGUGCGCCGUAGGGAAGCCCGAGAAAGCGAGCCGCCCUGGGGAAGUACGUCCGCAAGGGAUGAAAACUUAAAGGAAUUGGGCGGGGGGAAGCACUACAACCGGAGGAGCCUGCGGUUUUAAUUUGGACUCAACGCCCGGACAUCUCACCCGGCACCGACAACGUGCAGUGACGGUCAGUUUGAUGAGCUUACCUGAGCCGUUGAGAGGAGGUGCAUGGCAAACGACAGCUCGUACCGUGAGGCGUCCUGUUAAGUCAGGCAACGAGCGAGACCCGCGUCCAUAAUUGCCAGCAGCACCCUUGUGGUGGCUGGGUACAUUAUGGAGACUGCCGUCGCUAAGACGGAGGAAGGAACGGGCAACGGUAGGUCAGUAUGCCCCGAAUGUGCCGGGCGACACGCGGGCUACAAUGGCCAGGACAGUGGGACGCUACCCCGAGAGGGGACGCUAAUGACCUAACCCUGGUCGUAGUUCGGAUUGCGGAUUGAAACUCAUCCGCAUGAAGCUGGAUUCGGUAGUAA